rnacentral:rRNA from 1 species
AGAGUUUGAUCAUGGCUCAGAAUGAACGCUGGCGGCGUGCCUAACACAUGCAAGUCGAACGAGAAAGAGCUUCGGCUCAAGUACAGUGGCGAACGGGUGAGUAAUACGUGGGAAUCAACCCUUUAGUGAAGGACAUCCUCGAGAAAUCGAGAGCAAUCCUGCAUAAGUCUCUUCGGGGAGAAAGAUGCCUUUAUGGUGUC